ensembl:lncRNA
AUGCCUUCUUUGUCCUGGAUCUUUGCCUUGACGUUCUCAAUGGUGUCACUUGGCUCAACCUCAAGGGUGAUGGUCUUGGAUUUUUGCCUUGACGUUCUCAAUGGUGUCACUUGGCUCAACCUCAAGGGUGAUGGUCUUGACGAAGAUCUGCAUGCCUCCCCUGAGACGCAGCACCAGAUGCAAGGUGGACUCCUUCUGGAUGUUGUAGUCAGACAGUGUGCGACCAUCUUCCAGCUGUUUGCCAGCAAAGAUCAGCCUCUGCUGGUCAGGGGGAAUGCCUUCUUUGUCCUGGAUUUUUGCCUUGACGUUCUCAAUGGUGUCACUUGGCUCAACCUCAAGAGUGAUGGUCUUGCCAGUGAGGGUUUUGACAAAGAUCUGCAUCUAUUAACAAAACAAAACCAAAAAAUAAAAAAUAAAUAAAAUAAUCAUCAACCAUGCAUCAACUAAUUUAAAACUAUUGGUACACAUUCAUUAACAGCUAAAUGAAAGCAGAGAUCACAGAUGAAUGCUUUAAGCAUCUGAAAGAUUUUUUAAACACCAAACAAAACUCCAAAGAAAUCACACUUGUUUGUGAUAGCACUAUGCUCUAGCAAGUCAAGCAUUUAAUUGCACCUCACUUGUGUUAGGCAACCAGAAAAGCUUGAACGGAGCUCUGUCAACCACAUAUAAUGGCACGUAUUCAAGGCAGAACUAAGAUUUAUUAUGUUUCAUAAUUUACUACACUAUUAGCAUGACUUAAUUUAAUGGAUACAUUCGAUUUGUAUUUCCUCACUUUAAUAUAAAUGCAUUUGCUUAAAUAAGAGUAACUCUUUUUCUUAAUUUCUACUUUUUAACGAUUUUCAGCCAGAAAACCUUAAGGACCUGCUAAACUGUUGAAUUAUUAUAUCCUAACGUUACAUAAAGUAUAACAUCCUAAAAAAAAUCCGAAAUAAAUUUUCAAAAAGUAAAUAAACGACA